rnacentral:rRNA from 1 species
UACAGAGAGUGCGAGCGUUAAUCGGAAUUACUGGGCGUAAAGAGCUCGUAGGCGGUUUGUUGCGUCGGCUGUGAAAUCCCGAGGCUCAACCUCGGGUCUGCAGUCGAUACGAGCAAACUAGAGUGUUGCAGGGGAGACUGGAAUUCCUGGUGUAGCGGUGAAAUGCGCAGAUAUCAGGAGGAACACCGGUGGCGAAGGCGGCCCCCUGGUUGGAUACUGACGCUGAGACGCGAAAGCGUGGGAGCAAACAGG